rnacentral:rRNA from 1 species
GGCAACCCUGGUGGCGAGUGGCGAACGGGUGAGUAACAUAUCGGAACGUGCCCUGGAGUGGGGGAUAACUAGUCGAAAGAUUAGCUAAUACCGCAUACGAUCUACGGAUGAAAGUGGGGGAUCGCAAGACCUCAUGCUCGUGGAGCGGCCGAUAUCUGAUUAGCUAGUUGGUGGGGUAAAGGCCUACCAAGGCAUCGAUCAGUAGCUGGUCUGAGAGGACGACCAGCCACACUGGGACUGAGACACGGCCCAGACUCCUACGGGAGGCAGCAGUGGGGAAUUUUGGACAAUGGGCGCAAGCCUGAUCCAGCAAUGCCGCGUGAGUGAAGAAGGCCUUCGGGUUGUAAAGCUCUUUUGUCAGGGAAGAAACGGUGGGGGCUAAUAUCCCUUGCUAAUGACGGUACCUGAAGAAUAAGCACCGGCUAACUACGUGCCAGCAGCCGCGGUAAUACGUAGGGUGCAAGCGUUAAUCGGAAUUACUGGGCGUAAAGCGUGCGCAGGCGGUUGUGCAAGACCGAUGUGAAAUCCCCGGGCUUAACCUGGGAAUGGCAUUGGUGACUGCACGGCUAGAGUGUGUCAGAGGGGGGUAGAAUUCCACGUGUAGCAGUGAAAUGCGUAGAGAUGUGGAGGAAUACCGAUGGCGAAGGCAGCCCCCUGGGAUAACACUGACGCUCAUGCACGAAAGCGUGGGGAGCAAACAGGAUUAGAUACCCUGGUAGUCCACGCCCUAAACGAUGUCAACUAGUUGUCGGGUCUUAAUUGACUUGGUAACGCAGCUAACGCGUGAAGUUGACCGCCUGGGGAGUACGGUCGCAAGAUUAAAACUCAAAGGAAUUGACGGGGACCCGCACAAGCGGUGGAUGAUGUGGAUUAAUUCGAUGCAACGCGAAAAACCUUACCUACCCUUGACAUGGCAGGAAUCCCGGAGAGAUUCGGGAGUGCUCGAAAGAGAACCUGCACACAGGUGCUGCAUGGCUGUCGUCAGCUCGUGUCGUGAGAUGUUGGGUUAAGUCCCGCAACGAGCGCAACCCUUGUCAUUAGUUGCUACGAAAGGGCACUCUAAUGAGACUGCCGGUGACAAACCGGAGGAAGGUGGGGAUGACGUCAAGUCCUCAUGGCCCUUAUGGGUAGGGCUUCACACGUCAUACAAUGGUACAUACAGAGGGCCGCCAACCCGCGAGGGGGAGCUAAUCCCAGAAAGUGUAUCGUAGUCCGGAUUGCAGUCUGCAACUCGACUGCAUGAAGUUGGAAUCGCUAGUAAUCGCGGAUCAGCAUGUCGCGGUGAAUACGUUCCCGGGUCUUGUACACACCGCCCGUCACACCACGGGAGCGGGUUUUACCAGAAGUAGGUAGCUUAACCGCAAGGAGGGCGCUU